rnacentral:rRNA from 1 species
GAACGCGAAGAACCUUACCUACCCUUGACUUGUACGGAACCUCGCAGAGAUGUGAGGGUGCCCGAAAGGGAGCCGUAACACAGGUGCUGCAUGGCUGUCGUCAGCUCGUGUCGUGAGAUGUUGGGUUAAGUCCCGCAACGAGCGCAACCCUUGCCAUUAGUUGCCACAUCCAGUUGGGCACUCUAAUGGGACUGCCGGUGACAAACUGGAGGAAGGUGGGGAUGACGUCAAGUCCUCAUGGCCCUUAUGGGUAGGGCUUCACACGUAAUACAAUGGCCGGUACAGAGGGCUGCCAACCCGCGAGGGGGAGCAAAUCCCAGAAAGCCGGUCGUAGUCCGGAUUGUUCUCUGCAACUCGAGAGCAUGAAGUCGGAAUCGCUAGUAAUCGCGGAUCAGCAUGUCGCGGUGAAUACGUUCCCGG